UACGUAGGGGGCAAGCGUUGUCCGGAUUUAUUGGGCGUAAAGAGCGUGUAGGCGGCCAUACAGGUCAGCUGUGAAAACUCGAGGCUCAACCUCGAGACGUCGGUUGAAACCGUAUGGCUAGAGUCCGGAAGAGGAGAGUGGAAUUCCCGGUGUAGCGGUGAAAUGCGCAGAUAUCGGGAAGAACACCUAUGGCGAAGGCAGCUCUCUGGGUCCCUACCGACGCUGGGGUGCGAAAGCGUGGGGAGCAAACAGG
rnacentral:rRNA from 1 species